CAAAGAUUAAGCCAUGCAUGUGAC
rnacentral:misc_RNA from 3 species